rnacentral:misc_RNA from 1 species
GAAUAUUUGCAUAAUUAAAAGGAAAAAUUAUAAAAAAAGAAUGAAUUAAAAUAAUUACAAAAGCUAUAAUCGAAUAUAGCUCACAUAAUUAUAAAUCAUUUUUUUUAUACUAAACUAAAAUCCACCACCGAAUAAUGAAAAUGGAUAAGGCGGUGUACUAGCUUCCUCCGUCGCUGGAGUUCCUCCUCCACCACCACGUCCGCCGCCGCCGUAGUCGUAGCCGUAAAAGUUAGCCAUCGGUGGAGCGGUGAAACCGCCGCUCUCCGAUGAGCCAGUUGCCAAUGUACUAGACAUAGUAGGACAACUUCCGUAGGCUUCAUUAAUCAUCAUCAUCGGCCGGCCACCGAUGAUGACUUUUUGUUGGUUCAUCCACGCCGUGGACGGAGUUUCCGACGACGGCGAGGAUUGAUAGAACGUAUCCUUAUCGAAAUUCGCGUCAGGAGAUCGAAUCGACUGUAUCGUACCUGGCUCAUAAGUUAUCAUCGGCCGACUACCUAGCCAGGCCGUCGGCGGCGGCGGAGUUCCCGACGACGGUGAGGACUGACAGAUCGCAUCCUUAUCGAAAUUUGCGUCGGGUGAGUGAAAUGACGAUGUUGCCCCUACUGCAUCUUCACUCUUCACUGAAGAACAACUCGUUGAAUUCGAAAUCACAAGUCUCCGUUUCUUCUCACGAUUUGUUAAACUUAGCCUUUUAGAUCUCUCUUUCUCCAUUAAAAUUCUGGGCAGAAUCUCAGGAUCAUCAACAACUUUACACAAAAAAGCCAUCAUUUGCUGUGGCCUUUUCUCUGUAGCUUCUAAUCUUCUAGUCAUAUUCUCAACUUCAUGCUCUAAUGCUUUUUGUUCCUGCUUUAAUCUAGAAAUUUCAGUCAAAAUUUCUUCAUCUUCACUCUCAUCCUGCUUCUGAGAACACGAAUUUCUACUGUGCUUUUUCCUCACUAUGUUCUUCAACAAAUGCGUUUGCCCUCUCAGAAACCAUUCAUUUGCAAAUUCCCACUUAUCUGGAUCCACUUUUCUGAAUCCAUAAGUAUUGAGCUGACGAACAAAGCUGGAGAAAUUGUUGUGCUUAAAGUAAACAGGCAAAAUUCGUUGAGAAAAAUCCAAAGGUUCAACAACUAUGAAACUGUUAUUAGCUGUUCCCCAGGCUAUAAGUCCAUCAAUCUUCGGAUCAUUCACCAUUUGAUAAGUUUUCAUCACGAAUGGAGCAAUAAUAUUGUUAGCCUCCAUCCCAUAUAUAUAUAUAUAUAUCGUUCCGGUGUCGACACGGUGGAGCUCCACUGAGCUGGGCGG